CUCUGAGGGAGAGAUGUUCGCUUCGGCCGCUGGGACGAAGAGGAAAGUCCGGACACCGGAGAGCAGAAUGCCCUGCGAAAGCGGGGGUAUGUGGGUUCAAGCUCACGUAACGGCCAGUGCAACAGAAAAGAUACCGCCUUCGGGUAAGGGUGAAAAGGUGCGGCAAGAGCGCACCGCGCCUGAAGUGAUUCAGGUGGCUGUGUAAACCCCAUUCGGUGCAAGACGGAAUAGGAGAUAGAGUGGCUCGCUCGUUAGAAAUCUCGGGUUCGUCGCACUCCUGAUCGGGAGAAGUUUUGAAAAUCUUCAGAACUUAGAGAAAUGAACAUCGGGGUCUUGGACCCCAACAGAAUCCGGCUUACCCCUCAGAGAUUU
rnacentral:RNase_P_RNA from 1 species